rnacentral:rRNA from 1 species
AGAGUUUGAUCCUGGCUCAGGAUGAACGCUAGCUACAGGCUUAACACAUGCAAGUCGAGGGGCAGCAUGGACUCAGCUUCGCUGGGUUUGAUGGCGACCGGCGCACGGGUGAGUAACGCGUAUCCAACCUGCCCUUUACUCCGGGAUAGUCUCCUGAAAGGGAGUUUAAUACCGGAUGUGUUUGUCUUUCCGCAUGGGAGCGACAAAUAAAGAUUGAUUGGUAAAGGAUGGGGAUGCGUCCCAUUAGCUUGUUGGCGGGGUAACGGCCCACCAAGGCGACGAUGGGUAGGGGUUCUGAGAGGAAGGUCCCCCACAUUGGAACUGAGACACGGUCCAAACUCCUACGGGAGGCAGCAGUGAGGAAUAUUGGUCAAUGGGCGAGAGCCUGAACCAGCCAAGUAGCGUGAAGGAUGACUGCCCUAUGGGUUGUAAACUUCUUUUAUAUGGGAAUAAAAAAGGCCACGUGUGGUCUAUUGUAUGUACCUUAUGAAUAAGCAUCGGCUAAUUCCGUGCCAGCAGCCGCGGUAAUACGGAAGAUGCGAGCGUUAUCCGGAUUUAUUGGGUUUAAAGGGAGCGUAGGCGGGCUUUUAAGUCAGCGGUCAAAUGCCACGGCUCAACCGUGGCCAGCCGUUGAAACUGCAAGCCUUGAGUCUGCACAGGGCACAUGGAAUUCGUGGUGUAGCGGUGAAAUGCUUAGAUAUCACGAAGAACUCCGAUCGCGAAGGCAUUGUGCCGGGGCAUAACUGACGCUGAGGCUCGAAAGUGCGGGUAUCAAACAGGAUUAGAUACCCUGGUAGUCCGCACCGUAAACGAUGAAUACUCGCUGUUGGCGAUACAAUGUCAGCGGCCAAGCGAAAGCAUUAAGUAUUCCACCUGGGGAGUACGCCGGCAACGGUG